UACGGGGGAUGCAAGCGUUAUCCGGAUUUAUUGGGUUUAAAGGGUGCGUAGGCUGUGAGGUAAGUCAGUGGUGAAAUGCCCCCGCUCAACGGGGUGAAGUGCCAUUGAUACUGCCUUGCUGGAAUGCGGAUGCCGUGGGAGGAAUGUGUGGUGUAGCGGUGAAAUGCAUAGAUAUCACACAGAACACCGAUUGCGAAGGCAUCUCACGAAUCCGCGAUUGACGCUGAGGCACGAAAGCGUGGGUAUCAAACAGG
rnacentral:rRNA from 1 species